AGUCGAGCGGGGAAGGUAGCUUGCCACCUAACCUAGCGGCGGACGGGUGAGUAAUGCUUAGGAAUCUGCCUAUUAGUGGGGGACAACAUUCCGAAAGGAAUGCUAAUACCGCAUACGCCCUACGGGGGAAAGCAGGGGAUCUUCGGACCUUGCGCUAAUAGAUGAGCCUAAGUCAGAUUAGCUAGUUGGUGGGGUAAAGGCCUACCAAGGCGACGAUCUGUAGCGGGUCUGAGAGGAUGAUCCGCCACACUGGGACUGAGACACGGCCCAGACUCCUACGGGAGGCAGCAGUGGGGAAUAUUGGACAAUGGGCGAAAGCCUGAUCCAGCCAUGCCGCGUGUGUGAAGAAGGCCUUUUGGUUGUAAAGCACUUUAAGCGAGGAGGAAGCUACUUAGAUUAAUACUCUAGGAUAGUGGACGUUACUCGCAGAAUAAGCACCGGCUAACUCUGUGCCAGCAGCCGCGGUAAUACAGAGGGUGCGAGCGUUAAUCGGAUUUACUGGGCGUAAAGCGUGCGUAGGCGGCUUUUUAAGUCGGAUGUGAAAUCCCUGAGCUUAACUUAGGAAUUGCAUUCGAUACUGGGAAGCUAGAGUAUGGGAGAGGAUGGUAGAAUUCCAGGUGUAGCGGUGAAAUGCGUAGAGAUCUGGAGGAAUACCGAUGGCGAAGGCAGCCAUCUGGCCUAAUACUGACGCUGACGUACGACAAGAUGGGGGAGCAAACAGGAUUAGAUACCUUGGUAGUCCAUGGCC
rnacentral:rRNA from 1 species